UUUCCGUAGGUGAACCUGCGGAAGGAUCAUUAAUGAGUUGUCAUGGGGUUCGAUGCUGGCAGCCAGUUUUUGGAUGCAUGUGCUUGCCCUAACAAUCAUCUUCUUCCAACACCUGUGCACAUUUUUGAGGGAGUCUUGAGUUGGUUGCCGCUCUUGGGUGAUUUUCUCACAUUCCCUUAAAUCAUUAUACGCUAUUAACAAUGUUGAACGUGCUCUGUGCCGCAAGGCCAUUAAUAUAAUACAACUUUUAACAACGGAUCUCUUGGCUCUC
rnacentral:misc_RNA from 1 species